rnacentral:rRNA from 1 species
GAUGAACGCUGGCGGCGUGCCUAAUACAUGCAAGUCGAGCGAACGGACGCGAAGCUUGUUUCUCUGAUGUUAGCGGCGGGCGGGAGAGUCACACGUGGAUAAUCUACCUAUCUGUCUGGGAUCACUUCGGGAAUCCGGCGCUAAUACCGGAUAAUCUUCUGCUCCGCAUGGUUCAAAAGUGAAAGUCGGUCUUGCUGUCACUUCUCGCUGGAUCCGCGCUGCAUUAGCUAGUUGGUAAGGUAACGGCUUAUCACGGCAACGAUGCAUAGCCGACCUGAGAGAGGGAUAGGCCACACUGGAGCUGAGACACGGUCCAUGCGCCUACGAGAGGCAGCAGAAGGGAAUCGGCCGCAGUGGGCGGAAGCCUGGCGGAGCAGCGCGGCGUGAGUGAUAAAAGUCUUGGGAUCGGGAUGCCCGGUUAUGAGGGAAAAACAGAUGUGGAAGGAACUGUGCACAGCUUGACGGUACCUGAUCAGGAAGCCACGGCUAACUACGUG